CGGGGUGAGUAAUGGCUGGGAAACUGCCUGAUGGAGGGGGAUAACUGCUGGAAACGGUAGCUAAUACCGCAUAACGUCGCAAGACCAAAGAGGGGGACCUUCGGGCCUCUUGCCAUCGGAUGUGCCCAGAUGGGAUUAGCUAGUAGGUGGGGUAACGGCUCACCUAGGCGACGAUCCCUAGCUGGUCUGAGAGGAUGACCAGCCACACUGGAACUGAGACACGGUCCAG
rnacentral:rRNA from 1 species